rnacentral:rRNA from 1 species
GAUGAACGCUGGCGGCGUGCCUAACACAUGCAAGUCGAACGGGGGCAGAUUGAAACCUAGUGAUAUCUGCCCGAGUGGCGGACGGGUGAGUAACGCGUGGACAACCUGCCGCAUGCAGGGGGAUACCGGCUGGAAACAGCCGCUAAUACCGCAUAUGCGCACGGCGCCGCAUGGCGCCGCACGGAAAGGGAGCGAUUCCGGCAUGCGAUGGGUCCGCGUCCGAUUAGCUGGUUGGCGGGGCAGCGGCCCACCAAGGCGACGAUCGGUAGCCGGCCUGAGAGGGCGGACGGCCACAUUGGGACUGAGACACGGCCCAG